CCUGCAGCUGCUUCUGAAGGUCGGAAAAUUUUUUUGACCAGUCCCGAUCGUGGUCGGCCUGAGUUGUGAGCCAGGAUGAGCUUCCUUCCAACUGGCCGAUCUUCUCCCGUGCGGUCGUGAACUCGACCUCGAGGGAGCUGAUCUUGGAAGCCUGAGUCCAAGAUCAGUUGCUGGCACGUUUCUGGAGUUCCUCAAGCUCCUUCACGAAGUCGGUCUUCUUCUGGG
rnacentral:lncRNA from 1 species